ACGUAGGGUGCGAGCGUUAAUCGGAAUUACUGGGCGUAAAGCGUGCGCAGGCGGUUUUGUAAGCCAGAUGUGAAAUCCCCGGGCUCAACCUGGGAAUGGCAUUUGGGACUGCAAGGCUUGAGUAUGGCAGAGGGGACUAGAAUUCCUGGUGUAGCAGUGAAAUGCGUAGAUAUCAGGAGGAAUACCGAUGGCGAAGGCAGGUCCCUGGGUUAAUACUGACGCUCAUGCACGAAAGCGUGGGGAGCAAACAGGAUUAGAUACCCUGGUAGUCCACGCCCUAAACGAUGUCAACUGGUUGUUGGGGGUUUGACACUCUCAGUAACGAAGCUAACGCGUGAAGUUGACCGCCUGGGGAGUACGGCCGCAAGGUUA
rnacentral:rRNA from 1 species